GAAAAAGAAGAGGAAAAAGAGGAGGUAUGACGGGGUGAGCGAGCGUGAUGCGGUAUGGGUGGGGUGAAAGCGAAAGGAAGGGGUAGGAGAAGUUGGAGGUUAAACCGCCGGGCUCAACCUGAGAAUUGCAUGUAAAACUGACCAGGUUGAGUCGUGGAGAGGGGGGUAGAAUGCCAGGGUUAGCGGUGAAAUGCGUAGAGAUCUGGAGGAGUACCGGGGGCGAAGGCGGCCCCCUGGACAAAGACUGACGCUCAGGUGCGAAAGCGCGGGGAGCAAACAGGAUUAGAUACCCCAGUAGUC
rnacentral:rRNA from 1 species